rnacentral:tRNA from 1 species
GGCUCAGUAGCUUUGUUGGUAAAGCACUCGUCCUGCAUACGAGAGUCGUGGGAUUGAAUCCCACUUGAGCAG